rnacentral:rRNA from 1 species
AGGGCACCACCAGGAGUGGAGCCUGCGGCUUAAUUUGACUCAACACGGGAAAACUUACCUGGUCAGGACACUGGAAGGAUUGACAGAUUGAGAGCUCUUUCUUGAUUCAGUGGGUGGUGGUGCAUGGCCGUUCUUAGUUGGUGGAGCGAUUUGUCUGGUUAAUUCCGAUAACGAACGAGACUCUAGCCUACUAAAUAGACUGCUCAACUUUAUAGCUGCAUCACCUUGCAGUGGCUUCGGCUGCUGUAAGGCUGUGGUGACGUUGGCAGUGCUUCUUAGAGGGACAGGCGGCGGUUCAGCCGCACGAAACAGAGCAAUAACAGGUCUGUGAUGCCCUUAGAUGUCCAGGGCCGCACGCGCGCUACACUGAAGUGAUCAGCGUGCAAUUAACGUUUCCUACUCCGUCAGGAGUGGGUAACCCGUUGAACCUUCUUCGUGAUUGGGAUAGGGGAUUGUAAUUAUUCCCCUUGAACGAGGAAUUCCCAGUAAGCGCAAGUCAUAAGCUUGCGUUGAUUACGU